GAUGAACGCUGGCGGUCUGCUUAACACAUGCAAGUCGAACGGAAGUAGCAAUACUUUAGUGGCGGACGGGUGAGUAACACGUAAGAAUCUGCCUCCAGGACGGGAAAAACAGUUGGAAACGACUGCUAAUUCCGGAUGAGCCGAAAGGUAAAAAGAAAUUCGCCUGGAGAUGAGCUUGCGGCUGAUUAGCUAGUUGGUAGGGUAAGAGCCUACCAAGGCGACGAUCAGUAGCUGGUCUGAGAGGAUGAGCAGCCACACUGGGACUGAGACACGGCCCAGACUCCGACGGGAGGCAGCAUUGGGGAAUGUUCCGCAAUGGGCGAAAGCCUGACCGAGCAAGACCGCGUGGGGGAGGAAGGUUCUUGGAUUGUCAACCCCUUUUCUCAAGGAAGAAGAUCUGACGGUACUUGAGGAAUCAGCAUCGGCUAACUCCGUGCCAGCCGCCGCCGUAAAAC
rnacentral:rRNA from 1 species